CCUACGGGUGGCAGCAGUGAGGAAUAUUGGUCAAUGGGCGCGAGCCUGAACCAGCCAAGUAGCGUGAAGGAUGACUGCCCUACGGGUUGUAAACUUCUUUUAUAAAGGAAUAAAGUGAGGCACGUGUGCCUUUUUGUAUGUACUUUAUGAAUAAGGAUCGGCUAACUCCGUGCCAGCAGCCGCGGUAAUACGGAGGAUCCGAGCGUUAGGCGGAUUUAUUGGGGUUAAAGGGAGCGUAGAGGGGUUGUUAAGUCAGUUGUGAAAGUUUGCGGCUCAACCGUAAAAUUGCAAUUGAUACGGGCAGUCUUGCGUACAGUUGAGGUAAGCGUCAUUCUUGUU
rnacentral:rRNA from 1 species